ACAAGCGCAGUAAGGGCAAAUGGUGGACACCUUGGUAGCUGAAAGCGAUGAAGGACGUGGCUAGCUGCGAUAAGCCUCG
rnacentral:rRNA from 1 species